rnacentral:lncRNA from 1 species
UUUUCUUCCAGCUGCCGGACCAGCGGGCCUGCCGCCUCUACGGACCAGUCCCUGCUCAGGUGUCACUUUUGCUGGCAGGCCGAGAUUAGGGCAGGAGAGUGGGCAAGGCGUCGCGGCCAGGAGGAGAAGGGCUCUACCACGCCACCCUCCUUUGGCCUCCGAACGCGGACCCCGCACACACACACCCGCGCCUCUUUGGCAAGCGUGCCUUGUCGGCUGGGUUAAGCCGCAGUGCGUGCACACCGAGCGGCGGGGCGCUGUGGAACGCGGGAGCGGACUAGCGGAGGAGGAUGCGGACCAAGCCCCAGCGACCCAGGGCAACUCGGAGCUACCUCGGGCAGCCCUGCGGGUCUCCGAGGAGAACCGAGGAGACGGGAGAAACAUGGGAGAGGGUGGCCUUUUCCCUGUUCACACACACAUGCACGCAGCCACUGGCCGGGACAGUUGACACCCAUCUUCCUUCCCUGCUCCUUCCAGUCAUUCUACACCCGCUUGGUGCUGCCAGUGCGGGCAGGGCCUUGGAGCCCAAAGCGGAUCCCCACACUUGUCCCUACGGUCGGAAGGAAAGUAGAGGAGAGAAAGUCAGGCGCGGCAGGGCUAAGAGCAAUAGUGGCCCAAAUGUUCCUGGCCCGCCUGCUGCGCCACAGAGUCUGAAAAGCGGGUCUCCGUCUACCAGAAGGUGACCUCCACACAGCCCCUCUCCCCGACCAACUGCAGCACCCAAGGACUGGCAACGUGGUUGGAGCUUUUGGGGGGAAUUAUGAAGAAAUCUGAAUAAAUUUCUCACCCUUCAAAAAAAAAAAAAAAAAA